rnacentral:rRNA from 1 species
UUUCUAUGGAGAGUUUGAUCCUGGCUCAGGACGAACGCUGGCGGCGUGCCUAAUACAUGCAAGUCGAGCGGACCAAACAGGAGCUUGCUCUUGUUUGGUUAGCGGCGGACGGGUGAGUAACACGUGGGUAACCUGCCCGUAAGACCGGGAUAACUCCGGGAAACCGGAGCUAAUACCGGAUAACA